AGAGUUUGAUCAUGGCUCAGAUUGAACGCUGGCGGCAGGCCUAACACAUGCAAGUCGAGCGGUAACACAGGGAGCUUGCUACUUUUGCCGGCGAGCGGCGGACGGGUGAGUAAUGCCUGGGAAAUUGCCCAGUCGAGGGGGAUAACAGUUGGAAACGGUAGCUAAUACCGCAUAAUGUCGCAAGACCAAAGAGGGGGACCUUCGGGCCUCUUGCCAUCGGAUGUGCCCAGAUGGGAUUAGCUAGUAGGUGGGGUAACGGCUCACCUAGGCGACGAUCCCUAGCUGGUCUGAGAGGAUGAUCAGCCACACUGGAACUGAGACACGGUCCAGACUCCCACGGGAGGCAGCAGUGGGGAAUAUUGCACAAUGGGGGAAACCCUGAUGCAGCCAUGCCGCGUGUGUGAAGAAGGCCUUCGGGUUGUAAAGCACUUUCAGCGAGGAGGAAAGGUUGAUGCCUAAUACGUAUCAACUGUGACGUUACUCGCAGAAGAAGCACCGGCUAACUCCGUGCCAGCCGCCGCGGUAAUAC
rnacentral:rRNA from 1 species